rnacentral:rRNA from 1 species
UACGAAGGGGGCUAGCGUUGCUCGGAAUCACUGGGCGUAAAGGGCGCGUAGGCGGCUAGAUGUGUCAAAGGUGAAAUCCCUCGGCUCAACUGAGGAACUGCCUUUGAAACUGUCUGGCUUGAGGCCGGGAGAGGGUAGCGGAAUUCCCAGUGUAGCGGUGAAAUGCGUAGAUAUUGGGAGGAACACCAGUGGCGAAGGCGGCUACCUGGACCGGUUCUGACGCUGAGGCGCGAAAGCGUGGGUAGCAAACAGG